rnacentral:rRNA from 1 species
UACGAAGGGUGCAAGCGUUACUCGGAAUCACUGGGCGUAAAGCGUGCGUGGGCGGUUCGUUAAGUCUGUUGUGAAAGCCCUGGGCUCAACCUGGGAACUGCAGUGGAUACUGGCGAGCUAGAGUACGGUAGAGGAAGGUGGAAUUCCCGGUGUAGCGGUGAAAUGCGUAGAGAUCGGGAGGAACACCAGUGGCGAAGGCGGCCUUCUGGACCAGUACUGACGCUGAGGUGCGAAAGCGUGGGGAGCAAACAGG